rnacentral:rRNA from 1 species
UACAGAGACUGCAAGCGUUAUUCGGAUUCACUGGGCGUAAAGGGUGCGUAGGCGUUCCCCGGUGUCAGUUGUGAAAUCCCGAGGCUUAACCUCGGAACUGCGCCUGAAACUACUUGGCUAGAGUACUGGAGAGGGUAACGGAAUUCACGGUGUAGCAGUGAAAUGCGUAGAUAUCGUGAGGAACACCAGAGGCGAAGGCGGUUACCUGGACAGUUACUGACGCUCAGGCACGAAAGCGUGGGGAGCAAACAGG